CGCCAUCGCCUGCUGCCCCCUCUCGGCCUCCCGCGCAGCCUACCCCUCCGCCUCCUCCGGACCAAUCGUCGCUAGCCUUGGCACCUCCUCCGCCAAUAGGCGGCAGUGCCGGCGCGCCGGGAGACCGGACUUGUGCUUUGGGAAGUCCCUGACUCGGGGCGCGGAGCGGAGCGGCUGGCAGGCAGAAUUUCAGUAUGUGACAGAUGUGCCAUUUAUGAGGAAAGGGCCCGGGAACCACUGACCUAGGGGCAAGGAGAGCUGAAAGAGGACUGGACGUUGGGAAGCUCAAGUUUCUUCAGGUUGAUUGCGCCCGACUGUGCUAUAUAUAGGUCUGGGGACGUUGAGACAGCCCUUUGCCUUCAAGGAACUUGCAUUCCUGCUAGGGAGAAUGAUGGUAAUUGUGUAAACAAACGAAAUCACUACCUCUUUGGAUUCCCACAUCUACUUUUACAGUAGAAAAGUGAAGCAUGACUUAGCAUGGAUGCUGGAUUCCAACACGACCUGCCUGAUAUCCUGGUCACCAUCCCACCCACGCUAACAGAGGGCAGCUUUGUCAAAAAUCAGUUACCUGGUCACUCCACUUCUAGCAGAUUAUCCUUGGGAAAAUAUUUACUCAGGAACAAGAAGAACUAUUCAAGAAGAGAGUUAUUUAAAAGACAGAAUGGUUCAUUGACAGUAUGGAAUGUUUUUCACCCAUUAUGUAUGCUCUUUGAUUGAAAGGAAAUAAACUGGGAACGGGGCUUUUCUACAGGUG